rnacentral:rRNA from 1 species
GACGAACGCUGGCGGCGUGCUUAACACAUGCAAGUCGAGCGGCAAGGCCCUUUCGGGGGUACACGAGCGGCGAACGGGUGAGUAACACGUGGGUGACCUGCCCUUAGCUCUGGGAUAAGCCUGGGAAACUGGGUCUAAUACCGGAUAUGACUCCAUGACGCAUGUUGUGGGGUGGAAAGCCUUGUGCGGCUAGGGAUGGGCCCGCGGCCUAUCAGCUUGUUGGUGGGGUGAUGGCCACCAAGGCGACGACGGGUAGCCGGCCUGAGAGGGCGACCGGCCACACUGGGACUGAGACACGGCCCAGACUCCUACGGGAGGCAGCAGUGGGGAAUCUUGCGCAAUGGGCGAAAGCCUGACGCAGCGACGCCGCGUGAGGGAUGACGGCCUCGGUUGUAAC